rnacentral:rRNA from 1 species
UACGUAGGUGGCAAGCGUUGUCCGGAGUUAUUGGGCGUAAAGCGCGCGCAGGCGGUGCGGUAAGUCUCUGGUGAAAGCGCUCGGCUUAACUGGGCGAGGGCCGGGGAGACUGCCACGCUGGAGGGGAGCAGAGGCGAGUGGAAUUCCGGGUGUAGUGGUGAAAUGCGUAGAGAUUCGGAGGAACACCAGUGGCGAAGGCGGCUCGCUGGGCUCUACCUGACGCUGAGGCGCGAAAGCGUGGGGAGCGAACCGG